GACGAACGCUGGCGGCGCGCUUAACACAUGCAAGUCGAACGGAAAGGCCUGCUUUCCCUUGUGGAUUGCGGGUACUCGAGUGGCGAACGGGUGAGUAACACGUGAGUGAUCUGCCCCCAACUUGGGUAUAAGCCUGGGAAACUGGGUCUAAUUCCCGAUAGGACUGCAGGGUGGUGCCUGUGGUGGAAAACGAUUUUCUAGUGGUUGGGGAUGAGCUCGCGGCCUAUCAGCUUGUUGGUGGGGUAAUGGCCUACCAAGGCGGCGACGGGUAGCCGGCCUGAGAGGGUGGACGGCCACAUUGGGACUGAGAUACGGCCCAGACUCCUACGGGAGGCAGCAGUGGGGAAUAUUGCACAAUGGGCGGAAGCCUGAUGCAGCGACGCCGCGUGGGGGAUGACGGCCUUCGGGUUGUAAACUCCUUUCGACCGCGAGGAAGCCACCUGGUUGAAAGGGUGGUGACGGUAGUGGUAGAAGAAGCACCGGCUAACUACGUG
rnacentral:rRNA from 1 species